UACGUAGGGUGCGAGCGUUAAUCGGAAUUACUGGGCGUAAAGCGUGCGCAGGCGGUUCGUUGUGUCGGUGGUGAAAUCCCCGGGCUUAACCUGGGAAUGGCCAUGGAAACUGGCGAACUGGAGUGCGGCAGAGGGGGGUGGAAUUCCGCGUGUAGCAGUGAAAUGCGUAGAGAUGCGGCGGAACACCGAUGGCGAAGGCAGCCCCCUGGGCUGAGAUUGACGCUCAGGCACGAAAGCGUGGGGAGCAAACAGG
rnacentral:rRNA from 1 species